UCCCUGGAGGACUAGUGGUUAAGCCAUGGAGCUCUUGCUGCUGCGGCCUGGUUCGAACCCUGGCUAGGGGA